UACGGAGGGUGCAAGCGUUAUCCGGAUUCACUGGGUUUAAAGGGUGCGUAGGCGGGCAUGUAAGUCAGUGGUGAAAUCUCCGGGCUUAACUCGGAAACUGCCAUUGAUACUAUAUGUCUUGAAUUAUCUGGAGGUUAGCGGAAUAUGUCAUGUAGCGGUGAAAUGCUUAGAUAUGACAUAGAACACCCAUUGCGAAGGCAGCUAACUACGGGUAUAUUGACGCUGAGGCACGAAAGCGUGGGGAUCAAACAGG
rnacentral:rRNA from 1 species